UACGUAGGGUGCAAGCGUUAAUCGGAAUUACUGGGCGUAAAGCGUGCGCAGGCGGUUUUGUAAGUCUGACGUGAAAUCCCCGGGCUCAACCUGGGAAUUGCGUUGGAGACUGCAAGGCUAGAAUCUGGCAGAGGGGGGUAGAAUUCCACGUGUAGCAGUGAAAUGCGUAGAGAUGUGGAGGAACACCGAUGGCGAAGGCAGCCCCCUGGGUCAAGAUUGACGCUCAUGCACGAAAGGCGUGGGGAGCAAACGAGGAUUACGAAACCCCGUGUAGAUC
rnacentral:rRNA from 1 species